UACGAAGGGGGCUAGCGUUGCUCGGAAUCACUGGGCGUAAAGCGCACGUAGGCGGCUUACUAAGUCAGGGGUGAAAUCCUGGAGCUCAACUCCAGAACUGCCUUUGAUACUGGCGAUCUUGAGUCCGGGAGAGGUGAGUGGAACUCCGAGUGUAGAGGUGAAAUUCGUAGAUAUUCGGAAGAACACCAGUGGCGAAGGCGGCUCACUGGCCCGGUACUGACGCUGAGGUGCGAAAGCGUGGGGAGCAAACAGG
rnacentral:rRNA from 1 species